rnacentral:tRNA from 1 species
UGUCGCAGUGGCUCAGCUGGAUAGAGCAACGGUCUUCUAAACCGUAGGUCAUGAGUUCGAAUCUCAUCUGUGACAU